rnacentral:rRNA from 1 species
GACGAACGCUGGCGGCGUGCUUAACACAUGCAAGUCGAGCGGUAAGGCCCUUUCGGGGGUACACGAGCGGCGAACGGGUGAGUAACACGUGGGUGACCUGCCCUCAGCUCUGGGAUAAGCCUGGGAAACCGGGUCUAAUACUGGAUAUGACUCCAUGACGCAUGUUGUGGGGUGGAAAGCCUUGUGCGGCUGAGGAUGGGCCCGCGGCCUAUCAGCUUGUUGGUGGGGUGANGGCCUACCAAGGCGACGACGGGUAGCCGGCCUGAGAGGGCGACCGGCCACACUGGGACUGAGACACGGCCCAGACUCAUACGGGAGGCAGCAGUGGGGAAUCUUGCGCAAUGGGCGAAAGCCUGACGCAGCGACGCCGCGUGAGGGAUGACGGCCUCGGUGUAAC